rfam:Streptomyces sp. NRRL B-3648 P438contig84.1, whole genome shotgun sequence.
CUUCAGCGAUCCCAGCCACAGCGGCUGUUCGCGGUCCUGGCCGUAGGUCGCGAGGAGGGCCUGGGCCUC